rnacentral:misc_RNA from 1 species
CACAUACACGCACAGUUUACACAAGCGCACACAAGCACGCACAUACUCCCUCCCCCCUUCGUUGCUUUCUCUCAUACAUCUCCUUCGUAGCACUAAUCGAUAAUAAUCAUCAUCGCCAAAUCACCGACAGAAGCCGCCCUCGGCCCCUCCCUCCUCUACCCAAACGACGCACGCACACAGAACGUCAUGCGCCGCUUCGCCUCCAGAGCUCUGUUCUCUGCGUCCGCCGCCAUGGCGGCGCGCUGCGCCACAACCAACAUGACGGUGCGCGAUGCGAUCCACUCGGCCCUCGACGAGGAGCUCGCCCGCGAAGAGAAGGUCUUCGUGAUUGGUGAGGAGGUCGGUCAAUACCAGGGUGCCUACAAGGUGACCAAGGGCCUUGUGGACAAGUAUGGCAAGGACCGCAUCAUCGACAUGCCCAUCACAGAGCACGGCUUCGCCGGCAUGGCCGUUGGCGCCGCUCUCAGUGGCCUGCGCCCCGUGUGCGAGUUCAUGACCUUCAACUUCGCCAUGCAGGCUAUUGAUCAGAUUGUCAACUCGGCCGGCAAGAGCCUGUAUAUGUCUGGUGGCCAGAUGAAGUGCCCCAUAGUCUUUCGCGGUCCCAACGGUGCGUCGGCUGGUGUAGGUGCCCAGCAUAGUCAGUGCUUCGGCCCGUGGUACGCGUCCGUGCCCGGCCUGAAGGUAAUUGCGCCGUACAACUGCGAGGAUGCCCGCGGCAUGAUCAAGGCGGCCAUCCGCGACGACAACGCCGUGGUGGUGCUCGAGCACGAGCUGCUGUACAGCGAGUCCUUCCCCGUCACAGACGAGGUAGCGGACAAGAACUUUGUGAUCCCGUUCGGCAAGGCGAAGAUUGAGCGCGAGGGCAAGGACAUUACCCUCAUCGGCUUCUCUCGCGGUGUGGAUCUGUGCUUGAAGGCGGCUGAGAAGCUCGCCGCAGAGGGUGUGCAGGCGGAGGUGAUCAACCUUCGCUCCCUGCGCCCGCUCGACCGUCACACCAUCCUCAGCUCCAUCAAGAAGACGCACCGUGCAGUCACAGUCGAUGAGUCCUUCCCUGUGUGCAACAUUGGUGCUGAGAUCUGCGCCUGUGUCAUGGAGAGCGACACGUUCGACUACCUCGAUGCCCCGAUCGAGCGCGUGUCGUGCGCCGACUGUCCGACACCGUACAGCAAGGAUAUCGAGAUGGCCUCGCAGCCGCAGGUGGCCGACGUCAUGGCCGCUGCCAAGCGCGUACUCAGCUAAAGCGUAUGCGUGCAUGUGCGUGUGUGUGAGUGUGCUUACUCUAGUCGGCAACAAGUCUUCUAGGGAAUCUACAGGAAGCCAAGCAGCGAUGACAUAGCCGCCUGCAUAGAGCACAGGGGGGGGGGACAGCAGAAGAUAGAGAGAGGUAAGGCGCUGUGCACGCACUGGCGUGUGCUCCCCAUGCGUUGCCUCACACCCGCCUACACCCGCACAUGGGUGGUCAACCACACCUCUAUCCAUGGGUACGCAGUUGAUUUUAUUUGUCUGCGCUGAGAGGGACCUCUCUGCACACCACGUUGUAUCCUGUUGUUGCCGCUCCCGUCUGCCAGUAAGCGUCCCCCUUCCCGUCUGUGUGCUAAUAUAUAUAUAUAUAUAGUUGUGUGUAUGUGUGUUUGUUGUAUGCGUAGGUUUAUGUGUGUGUGUGUGUGCGUGCGUGCGUAUCCUUCCGUCUCUCUUUCCCUCCCCUUCCCCCGCUUGUUCGUCUGCGUCUUUAUCGGCUCUUCAUGUUUGCCUCAGUGCGACUCCUCUCGCUCUCCUUAUAUGUUCUCUUGCCUGGCUUUGGGAUGCCUUUGCACAUAGUGCGCGUGCAAAAGAGGGAAGGAGAGAGCGAGGUGGGUGUGGCGCGUUGGAAGUACAGAGAAGGCGUAGUGUAUGUGCCGCACUGUGGUGCUGUAGUCCUCCUCUCGCCCUUCCACACACACCACACGCCCCGCCCCGCCGCUCUCUCCUCUACCCUUCGUUGAAGAGUGGCACAUGUAAACCGCACAUGCGCACACAUCCCACACACAAAAAAAAACUCAAAAGCCCUUGCCUUCGGUCGCUCCCCAUUCGCCUCUCUCUCCUGUGCUCGCUUCCCCCCCCCCGUCAAGCGUGCGUGCGUGUAGCUGACGAGUGAGGCAGAGCGCAGCAGCUAGAGAGCGAGAGAAUGACGAAAGGGCAACAAUAUCCCCAGCACAAAAGUUGUUCGAUAUAUGAGAAAAAAAAACAUCAGGCGAAUAUCGGGCUUAUCUUCGCCUUGCCCCCCCCCCUCUCCCCGCGCCCCUCUUGCUCUCCCUCCGGCUCCAAUGUGGGAAUGGGAUGCGCCACCGAUGAUGACGGCGAUGUGUUGUGUGCGCGUUGCGCCUGUACGUUUCUUUUGUAGCUGAAUAUCCACCUGAACGGAAGCCAGAAAACGGAGAACCGCAACGUCCAGCAGAAAAAAAAUUUUAACGUGAGCAUCUCCUUUGCAAGACACCAGAACGCAACUCUGGAGAGAGCGAGCAUUGUCCUCUGUUCCCGCAACCCCCACGUCACCCCCUCCCCUCCCACAAGCACACACACACACACACACACCUCUACCUCGCACCCUUAGCGUAGACGAUAAGAGCGACGCAGUCGCUCGUCAGACGCUGCUGGCGUGGUUUCCUUUGGUUUUGACCUAAGAAGAAAAGCGGGUCUCUCUCUCUCCCUCUCCAUGUGCGCGUUUGUGCGUGCGUGUGGUGUGUGUGUGUGUGUGUGCGUGCGUGUGGUGUGUGUGUGUGUAUGUAGGUGCUCGAGUUCCAUGCGCACGCAUGCAACACAUGCAGAUGCUCCGCACACACGCGCGCACCCACAUGUACCUUCCAAGACGGGAAAAGCGAAGAAUUCAACGGUAUACUUAACGAUCAAAGACACCAGAACUCAUUAAGCGAUGCGACACACAUACGCGCCCGGUAGAUGGUGAACACAGUAGCGACUUGGGCGAGAUGCACCCGCUGCCGCCGUGUUCCUUCUGUUUUCUCUUCUUUCCCAUCUGUGUUUACACACAGACACAGAGAGACCGAGAAACAGAUACACGGCGUGCACACGCUUGGGCCGGCACCCCAAAUCUGUGCCCUCCUUCAAGCCGAGUGCAGCUGUUCGGGAGUCUGGCUGGUGCAGUGGGAGGCGAGGGAUGGUGCAGAGAGAGGCGUAGACGAAGAUGCAGAGAGGCACAUUGAGACGACAGAGAACGACACGUUUGAGUGUGCGCGGGUCUGCAUGUUUGGCGUCGAGGAGACCUGGAAGCGAAUGGAGGUGGAGAGUGAGAGGCGGCAGCGGUGCGGCAGCCGAGAAAGACCACUCGCGCACAUAUACACACACAUUCCCGUUUGCCUUCCCUCUUCCUGCCCCGCAUUCGUCGCGCUGAUGUCGUCCGAGUGGUCGCCGACGCAUCACCGUGUGGCCCAAAGCGUUCUAGUUCGUGUUGGGGUUACGGACACGCUUCGCACAUACGCACCAGCACCACCUCUCAUAGCCCCCCCCCCUUCCUCUACCUUCACGCCCCCUCCCUCUUGCGCACGUCUUAUGCGGCUUGUUUUUUUUUUUU